rnacentral:misc_RNA from 1 species
GAUGAAUAACGCAGCGAAAUGCGAUACGUAAUGUGAAUUGCAAAUUCAGUGAAUCAUCGAGUCUUUGAACGCACAUUGCGCCCCCUGGUAUUCCGGGGGGCAUGCCUGUCCGAGCGUCAUUGCUGCCCUCAAGCACGGCUUGUGUGUUGGGCCCCGUCCUCCGAUUCCGGGGGACGGGCCCGAAAGGCAGCGGCGGCACCGCGUCCGGUCCUCGAGCGUAUGGGGCUUUGUCACCCGCUCUGUAGGCCCGGCCGGCGCUUGCCGAUCAACCCAAAUUUUUAUCCAGGUUGACCUCGGAUCAGGUAGGGAUACCCGCUGAACUUAAGCAUAUCAAUAAGCGGAGGA